rnacentral:rRNA from 1 species
AACGAUGCACACUUGGUGUUAACUAAAAGUUAGUACCGAAGCUAACGUGUUAAGUGUGCCGCCUGGGGAGUAUGCUCGCAAGAGUGAAAUUCAAAGGAAUUGACGGGGGCCCGCACAAGCGGUGGAGCAUGUGGUUUAAUUCGAUGAUACGCGAGGAACCUUACCAGGGCUUGACAUAUAUAGGAUAUAGUUAGAGAUAAUUAUUCCCCGUUUGGGGUCUAUAUACAGGUGCUGCAUGGUUGUCGUCAGCUCGUGCUGUGAGGUGUUGGGUUAAGUCCCGCAACGAGCGCAACCCUUGUUAUCUGUUACCAGCAUGUAAUGGUGGGGACUCAGAUAAGACUGCCGGUGAUAAGUCGGAGGAAGGUGAGGAUGACGUCAAAUCAUCAUGGCCCUUAUGUCCUGGGCUACACACGUGCUACAAUGGCCUGUACAAAGCGAAGCGAAACAGUGAUGUGAAGCAAAACGCAUAAAGCAGGUCUCAGUCCGGAUUGAAGUCUGAAACUCGACUUCAUGAAGUUGGAAUCGCUAGUAAUCGUAUAUCAGAAUGAUACGGUGAAUACGUUCUCGGGCCUUGUACACACCGCCCGUCACACCACCCGAGUUGAGGAUACCCGAAGCUAUUAUUCUAACCCGUAAGGGAGGAAGGUAUUUAAGGUAUGUUUAGUGAGGGGGGUGAAGUCGUAACAAGGUAGCCGUACUGGAAAGUGCGGCUG